AGCGAACGCUGGCGGCAGGCCUAACACAUGCAAGUCGAACGGGCACCUUCGGGUGUCAGUGGCAGACGGGUGAGUAACACGUGGGAACGUGCCCUUUGGUUCGGGACAACUCCGGGAAACUGGAGCUAAUACCGGAUAAGCCCUUUUGGGGAAAGAUUUAUCGCCAAAGGAUCGGCCCGCGUCUGAUUAGCUAGUUGGUGAGGUAACGGCUCACCAAGGCGACGAUCAGUAGCUGGUCUGAGAGGAUGAUCAGCCACACUGGGACUGAGACACGGCCCAGACUCCUACGGGAGGCAGCAGUGGGGAAUAUUGGACAAUGGGCGCAAGCCUGAUCCAGCCAUGCCGCGUGAGUGAUGAAGGCCCUAGGGUUGUAAAGCUCUUUUGUCCGGGAAGAUAAUGACUGUACCGGAAGAAUAAGCCCCGGCUAACUUCGUGCCAGCAGCCGCGGUAAUAC
rnacentral:rRNA from 1 species